rnacentral:rRNA from 1 species
UUCUUUAUGUUUAAAAUAUAAAGUAUAGCCUGCCCAAUGAUUAUUUAAAUGGCCGCGGUAUAUAUCGUGCUAAGGUAGCAUAAUAAUUUGUCCUUUAAAUGAGGUCUGGAAUGAAUGGUUGAACGAGAAGUUGACUUUUUUAAUUAAAUUUUUUUGAAUUUUAUUUUUUAGUAAAAAAGCUAAAAUUGAACAAUGUGACGAUAAGACCCUAUAAAAUUUUAUUAAUAAUAAAUAUAAAACAAAUUGGUUUUUAGUUGUUUUAUAUUUAUUAUUAAUUUGGUUGGGGCGACUGAUAUAUAUUAAAAACUAUAUCUUUUAUUUAUCAUUAAUUUAUGAAUUGUUGAUCCUAAAUUUUAGAUUAUAAGAUUAAAUUACUUUAGGGAUAACAGCGUUAUUUUCUUGGAGAGUUCUCAUUAAUAAGAAAGAUUGCGA